rnacentral:sRNA from 1 species
CUGGCCGUGGCAGGAGAGGCUGGUUGCCUGACAGCCCGCCCGCCUGGGAUUAUAUCUGUCCAAGAUGCGAGUCUGGUUUUAUCGAGGAGCUUCCGGAAGAGACCAGGAGCACAGAAAAUGGUUCUGCCCCCUCCACAGCUCCCACAGACCAGAGCCGGCCACCGUUGGAGCUUCGAGAUCCCCACGUUCCCUCCUGGGGCGCAGGCUGACGACGGCAGGGACCCUGAGAGCCGGCGGGAGAGAGACCAUCCGUCCCGGCACCGGUACGGCGCCCGACAGCCCCGCGCCCGCCUCACCACGCGGCGGGCCACCGGCCGGCACGAAGGCGUCCCCACGCUGGAAGGGAUCAUCCAGCAGCUCGUCAACGGCAUCAUCACGCCCGCCACCAUCCCCAGCCUGGGCCCCUGGGGAGUCCUGCACUCAAACCCUAUGGACUACGCCUGGGGGGCCAACGGCCUGGACGCCAUCAUCACACAGCUCCUCAAUCAGUUUGAAAACACAGGCCCCCCACCGGCAGAUAAAGAGAAAAUCCAGGCCCUUCCCACCGUCCCCGUCACUGAGGAGCACGUAGGCUCCGGGCUCGAGUGCCCUGUGUGCAAGGACGACUACGCGCUGGGUGAGCGUGUGCGGCAGCUGCCCUGCAACCACCUGUUCCACGACGGCUGCAUCGUGCCCUGGCUGGAGCAGCACGACAGCUGCCCCGUCUGCCGAAAAAGCCUCACGGGACAGAACACGGCCACGAACCCCCCUGGCCUCACCGGGGUGAGCUUCUCCUCCUCGUCCUCAUCAUCCUCCUCCAGCUCACCCAGCAACGAGAACGCCACGAGCAACUCGUGAGCCCAUGUCGGCCGCCGGGAAAGCACGGGGCCUUUCCCACCCACCCUCAGCCAGCGCCACGCUCGGCUGGUCAGCGCUGCAGGUCCCGCCUGUUCCAGGGCAGGACCCGGGCCCGGCCCGCCGGCCCCCUGGCUCGGGAAGGCGUGGGCCACAUGGUCCCCUCUGGGGCGUCCCCAGCCUCCCCGUCCUCUGUCUAACCUCGCCCUCUAAACGUUCAGCGGUGGAAAGAUUUUUAUAAUUUUAAAUUAUUACUGCUUUGAAAUAAACGGACGUUUGAGCUCACGUGGCGGCCAUGCAUGGUUUGUGGCGGAAGACGGGGCCCAGUGGCUCCCCCAGCGCUGAAACACGGGGCUCAGCGGCUCCCCCAGUGCUGCAGGUGCCGCCAGGACGGGCCACGUGGGCCCCCAGCCUCCCCCUCGGCCGCCUCCACGACCCAGAGUAGGGGGGCUCGGGACCAUGAGGAUGACCAGCAAAAUUCAAGAACAAAACUGCUCCAACAGACUUUUUUAAAAGAAAAAAUAUGUGUAUCUUGAAAGCUAUUUAAAAUACACUACUUACAAAGA